ensembl:lincRNA
AUCAGUUUGCAAUGUCAAUCAUCCCUUAGUCUCAGACUCUGCAACAAUUACGAAGCAAAUACUAGUUAGUUUUUUGGUGCUUUUUUUUUUUUUAAUAUAGUCUCCCUUUGUCACCCAGGCUGGAGUGCAGUGGCACGAUCUUGGCUCACGGCAACCUUUGCCUCCUGGGUUCAAGUGUUCAAGCGAUUCUCCUGAUUCAACCUCCUGUAGCUGGGAUUACAGGUGUGCGCCACCAUGCUGGGCUAAGUUUUUUGUGGUUUUAAUGGAGACCAGGUGUCACCAUUUUGGCCAGGCUGGUCUCAAACUCCUGAUCUCAAGCAAUCUGCCUGCCUCGCCCUCCCAAAGUGCUAGGAUUGAAGACGUGAGCCACUGCACCCAGCCGACUGGUUAGUCUUUCUUUUUGCUUUGUUUGUUUGUUUGUUUAUUUAUUCAUUCUCCUAACAACAUCCUUAAGCAAGGGCCACUGUUAUCUCACUCAUUCACUUUUCAUUGACAGUCACUCACAUAUGACAGCUUUAAAAUUUGGUCUGCGAAUUUGCAGAGUUUUACCUUAAUAAUCAGAGAGAGAUGCGGUCAAAUGCUUACAGGCGAUUCAACAUAUUCUGGUGUGCACAACAUAUAGUGAACACACAGAGGAUGCGGAAGCAAGGUCCAAGUGGGGGCACUGGGAAUGUCCUAUGAGUAGAAGGCAGAAUGAAGAGAAGUCACUGCACUUUGCCCUGAGACGUCUGGCUGAUCCAAGAAAAGACACUGAUUUUCUGAUUCUUCAGUUUUUCCCCUUGUUUUAAAGAUGGCACCAGUAACUUUCAUUCUGCUUAUGUAUCAGAGAGCUGCUCAUGGGAAUGUGAUAGAGAGGAAGAGAAGCUGGGGACACCCCUCUCUAAGCCGUAAAUGGAGGGCAAGCAUCAAAGUGGGCCACUACAUAGCGUCUCUGAUGGGAGUUACAAAUUGGUGAGUAGGGGCUAGGACUUUUUGUGCAUAUGUAUAUCAUGUAUGACUCUGUGGCAGUCACUGUGCCACUGAGUAAAUUAUUCCUGUCAUUUACUGUUAUCACCACAGUAUACACAAUAUCCUUAUAAAUUAUAUACUUUUAUUUCUUCCAUUUGGCAGAAGGUGAAAUUGAGGCAUAAGAGGUUAAAUAACCGGCCAAAAUGCUUGGAGCUGUAGUUCAAACCAAAUGUGCCUGACAUAAU